UACGAAGGGGGGCUAGCGUUGCUCGGAAUUACUGGGCGUAAAGGGCGCGUAGGCGGAUAUCUAAAGUUGGGGGGUGAAAUCCCGGGGGCUCAACCUCGGAAUUGCCUUCAAAAACUGGAUAUCUUGAGUUCGGGAGAGGUGAGUGGAACUCCGAGUGUAGAGGUGAAAUUCGUAGAUAUUCGGAAGAACACCAGUGGCGAAGGCGGCUACCUGGACAUCAACUGACGCUGAGACGCGAAAAGCGUGGGGGAGCAAACAGG
rnacentral:rRNA from 1 species